UAGGGAAUCUUCGGCAAUGGACGAAAGUCUGACCAAGCAACGCCGCGUGAGUGAAGAAGGUUUUCGGAUCGUAAAACUCUGUUGUUAGAGAAGAACAAGGACGUUAGUAACUGAACGUCCCCUGACGGUAUCUAACCAGAAAGCCACGGCUAACUCCGUGCCAGCAGCCGCGGUAAUACGUAGGUGGCAAGCGUUGUCCGGAUUUAUUGGGCGUAAAGCGAGCGCAGGCGGUUUCUUAAGUCUGAUGUGAAAGCCCCCGGCUCAACCGGGGAGGGUCAUUGGAAACUGGGAGACUUGAGUGCAGAAGAGGAGAGUGGAAUUCCAUGUGUAGCGGUGAAAUGCGUAGAUAUAUGGAGGAACACCAGUGGCGAAGGCGGCUCUCUGGUCUGUAACUGACGCUGAGGCUCGAAAGCGUGGGGAGCAAACAGG
rnacentral:rRNA from 1 species